rnacentral:rRNA from 1 species
GACGAACGCUGGCGGCGUGCCUAAUACAUGCAAGUCGAACGCUUCUUUCCUCCCGAGUGCUUGCACUCCAUUGGAAAGCGGAGUGGCGGACGGGUGAGUAACACGUGGGUAACCUACCCAUCAGAGGGGGAUAACACUUGGAAACAGGUGCUAAUACCGCAUAACAGUUUAUGCCGCAUGGCAUAAGAGUGAAAGGCGCUUUCGGGUGUCGCUGAUGGAUGGACCCGCGGUGCAUUAGCUAGUUGGUGAGGUAACGGCUCACCAAGGCCACGAUGCAUAGACGACGUGAGAGGGUGAUUGGCCACACUGGGACUGAGACACGGCCAAGACUACUACGGGAGGCAGCAGUAGGGAAUCUUCGGCAAUGGACGAAAGUCUGACCGAGCAACGCCGAGUGAGUGAAGAAGGUUUUCGGAUCGUAAAACUCUGUUGUUAGAGAAGAACAAGGACGUUAGUAACUGAACGUCCCCUGACGGUAUCUAACCAGAAAGCCACGGCUAACUACGUG